rnacentral:rRNA from 1 species
GACGAACGCUGGCGGCGUGCUUAACACAUGCAAGUCGAACGGAAAGGCCCUGCUUUUGUGGGGUGCUCGAGUGGCGAACGGGUGAGUAACACGUGAGUAACCUGCCCUUGACUUUGGGAUAACUUCAGGAAACUGGGGCUAAUACAGGAUAGGAGCUCCUGCUGCAUGGUGGGGGUUGGAAAGUUUCGGCGGUUGGGGAUGGACUCGCGGCUUAUCCGCUUGUUGGUGGGGUAGUGGCUUACCAAGGCUUUGACGGGUAGCCGGCCUGAGAGGGUGACCGGCCACAUUGGGACGGGGAUGCGGCCCAGACUCCUACGGGAGGCAGCAGUGGAGAAGAGUGCACUAUGGGCGGAGGCCUGAUGCAGCAACGCCGCGUGCGGGAUGACGGCCUUCGGUUUGUAAACCGCUUUCGCCUGUGACGAAGCGUGAGUGACGGUAAUGGGUAAAGAAGCACCGGCUAACUACGUG